UACGGAGGGUGCAAGCGUUAUCCGGAUUCACUGGGUUUAAAGGGUGCGUAGGAGGACAGGUAAGUCAGUGGUGAAAUCUCCAAGCUUAACUUGGAAACUGCCGUUGAUACUAUCUGCCUUGAAUACCGUGGAGGUGAGCGGAAUAUGUCAUGUAGCGGUGAAAUGCUUAGAUAUGACAUAGAACACCAAUUGCGAAGGCAGCUCACUACACGAAUAUUGACUCUGAGGCACGAAAGCGUGGAGAUCAAACAGG
rnacentral:rRNA from 1 species